GAUGAACGCUGGCGGCGUGCCUAAUACAUGCAAGUCGAGCGAACAGACGAGGAGCUUGCUCCUCUGACGUUAGCGGCGGACGGGUGAGUAACACGUGGAUAACCUACCUAUAAGACUGGGAUAACUUCGGGAAACAGGAGCUAAUACCGGAUAAUAUAUUGAACCGCAUGGUUCAAUAGUGAAUGACGGUUUUGCUGUCACUUAUAGAUGGACCCGCGCCGCAUUAGCUAGUUGGUAAGGUAACGGCUUACCAAGGCGACGAUGCGUAGCCGACCUGAGAGGGUGUUCGGCCACACUGGAACUGAGACACGGCCCAGACUCCUACGGGAGGCAGCAGUAGGGAAUCUUCCGCAAUGGGCGAAAGCCUGACGGAGCAACGCCGCGGGAGUGAUGAAGGUCUUCGGAUCGUAAAACUCUGUUAUUAGGGAAAAACAAAUGUGUAAGUAACUAUGCACGUCUUGACGGUACCUAAGCAGAAAGCCACGCCUAACUACGU
rnacentral:rRNA from 1 species